CCAAUAGCGUAUAUUAAAAUUGUUGCAGUUAAAAAGCUCGUAGUUGAACCUUAGGCCCGUGCGGAUGGUCCGUCCUCAGGGCGAGCACUGCCUCGUUGCGGGUCUCACCUUCUGGCGAGCGUGGAUGCCAUUCACUUGGUGUCCGCGGGAACCAGGACCUUUACCUUGAAAAAAUUAGAGUGCUCAAAGCGGGCUCGUACGCUUGAAUACAUUAGCAUGGAAUAAUGAAAUAGGACGACGGUUCUAUUUUGUUGGUUUCCGGGACAGUCGUAAUGAUUAAUAGGGAUAGUUGGGGGCAUUCGUAUUCAAUUGUCAGAGGUGAAAUUCUUGGAUUUAUUGAAGACGAACUACUGCGAAAGCAUUUGCAAAGGAUGUUUUCAUUAAUCAAGAACGAAAGUUGGGGGAUCGAAGACGAUCAGAUACCGUCGUAGUCUCAACCAUAAACUAUGCCGACUGGGAAUCGGGCGAUGUUAUUUUUCGUGACUCGCUCGGCGCCCCGAG
rnacentral:rRNA from 1 species